AACGAACGCUGGCGGCAGGCCUAACACAUGCAAGUCGAACGCUCGUAGCAAUACGAGAGUGGCAGACGGGUGAGUAACACGUGGGAACCUUCCCUAUGGUUCGGAAUAGCUCAGGGAAACUUGGGGUAAUACCGGAUAAGCCCUUCGGGGAAGAUUUAUCGCCAUUGGAUGGGCCCGCGUCGGAUUAGCUAGUUGGUGAGGUAACGGCUCACCAAGGCAACGAUCCGUAGCUGGUCUGAGAGGAUGAUCAGCCACACUGGGACUGAGACACGGCCCAGACUCCUACGGGAGGCAGCAGUGGGGAAUAUUGGACAACGGGCGCAAGCCUGAUCCAGCCAUGCCGCGUGAGUGACGAAGGUCUUCGGAUUGUAAAACUCUUUUGGCGGGGACGAUAAUGACGGUACCCGCAGAAUAAGCCCCGGCUAACUUCGUGCCAGCAGCCGCCGCCGUAAU
rnacentral:rRNA from 1 species